AUUGAACGCUGGCGGCAGGCCUAACACAUGCAAGUCGAGCGGAUGAAGGGAGCUUGCUCCUGGAUUCAGCGGCGGACGGGUGAGUAAUGCCUAGGAAUCUGCCUGGUAGUGGGGGAUAACGUCCGGAAACGGGCGCUAAUACCGCAUACGUCCUGAGGGAGAAAGUGGGGGAUCUUCGGACCUCACGCUAUCAGAUGAGCCUAGGUCGGAUUAGCUAGUUGGUGGGGUAAAGGCCUACCAAGGCGACGAUCCGUAACUGGUCUGAGAGGAUGAUCAGUCACACUAGAACUGAGACACGGUCCAGACUCCGACGGGAGGCAGCAGUGAGGAAUAGUGGACAAUGGGCGAAAGCCUGAUCCAGCCAUGCCGCGUGUGUGAAGAAGGUCGUCGGAUUGUAAAGCACUUUAAGUUGGGAGGAAGGGCAGUAAGUUAAUACCUUGCUGUUUUGACGUUACCAACAGAAUAAGCACCGGCUAACUUC
rnacentral:rRNA from 1 species